GAUUCAGAGCAGACUUCUACGAAGUUCUCCCCACCAUGGACUGGGUUCCCUUCUACAUCCUGCCCUUCAUUUUCUCUACAGGUUUCUGUGCUCUGCCUGUGCUGACUCAGCCUCCAUCGGCAAAUGCCUCUCUGGAAGCCUCAGUCAAGCUUACAUGCACCCUGAGCAGGGAGCACAGCAAUUACUUUGUUCACUGGUAUCAACAGGAACCAGGGAAGGCCCCUCGGUAUUUGAUGAAGGUUAAUAGUGACGGAAGCCACAGCAAGGGGGACGGGAUCCCCAGUCGCUUCUCAGGAUCCAGCUCUGGGGUUGACCGCUAUUUAACUAUCUCCAACAUCCAGUUGGAGGAUGAAGCUGAGUACUACUGCGGUGAGAGCCAUACAAUCGAUGGCCAACACGGUUAA